rnacentral:rRNA from 1 species
GAAGGGACCUAGCGUAGUUCGGAAUUACUGGGCGUAAAGCGCGCGUAGGCCGUUGAGUUAGUUAAUUGUGAAAUCCCAAAGCUUAACUUUGGAACUGCAAUUAAAACUGCUCGACUAGAGUUUGAUAGAGGAAAGCGGAAUACAUAGUGUAGAGGUGAAAUUCGUAGAUAUUAUGUAGAACACCAGUUGCGAAGGCGGCUUUCUGGAUCAACACUGACGCUGAGGCGCGAAAGUAUGGGUAGCAAAGAGGAUUAGAUACCCUCGUAGUCCAUACCAUAAACGAUGAUUGCUAGAUGUUGGAAAUUUAUUUUCAGUAUCGCAGCUAACGCAUUAAGCAAUCCGCCUGGGGAGUACGACCGCAAGGUUA